rnacentral:rRNA from 1 species
UACGAAGGGGGCUAGCGUUGCUCGGAAUUACUGGGCGUAAAGCGCACGUAGGCGGCUUUCUAAGUCGGGGGUGAAAUCCUGGAGCUCAACUCCAGAACUGCCUUCGAUACUGGAGAGCUCGAGUCCGGGAGAGGUGAGUGGAACUGCGAGUGUAGAGGUGAAAUUCGUAGAUAUUCGCAAGAACACCAGUGGCGAAGGCGGCUCACUGGCCCAUUACUGACGCUGAGGCACGAAAGCGUGGGGAGCAAACAGGG